rnacentral:rRNA from 1 species
AUUGAACGCUGGCGGCAGGCCUAACACAUGCAAGUCGAACGAGUGGCGGACGGGUGAGUAAUGUCUGGGAACCUGCCUGAUGGAGGGGGAUAACUACUGGAAACGGUAGCUAAUACCGCAUACCAUCAGAUGUGCCCAGAUGGGAUUAGCUAGUUGGUGGGGUAACGGCUCACCAAGGCGACGAUCCCUAGCUGGUCUGAGAGGAUGACCAGCAACAAUGGAACUGAGAAAGGGGCAAGACGCCGACGGGAGGCAGCAGUGGGGAAUAGUGGAAAAUGGGCGAAAGCCUGAUACAGCAAUGCCGCGUGGAUGAAGAAGGCCUUCGGGUUGUAAAGUACUUUAAGCGGGGAGGCGUUACCCGCAGAAGAAGCACCGGCUAACUACGUGCCAGCAGCCGCGGUAAUAC